GACAGAGGAGCCAAGCGUUGUCCGGAUUGACUGGGCGUAAAGCGCACGCAGGCGGCGCUGCGCGUGGGGUGUGAAAGCUCUUGGCUUAACUGAGAGAGGCCAUCCCAUACGGCAGUGCUCGAGCGGUGCAGAGGUCCGCGGAAUUGCCGGUGUAGUGGUGAAAUGCGUAGAGAUCGGCAGGAACACCCAGGGGGAAACCAGCGGACUGGGCAUCAGCUGACGCUCAGGUGCGACAGCGUGGGGAGCGAACCGG
rnacentral:rRNA from 1 species